AAACAUGAUAUACAAAGGCUGAAAAUAUACAUGUUGACUAUGCAUACACUUAGGAGGAGAAUCCGAUGAUUACCCACCUCUAGCACUAAUCCGGCAGCACGGGGUCGCGAAGUUGCUGGAACCACUACUGAAACUAUCCGAAAUCACUUAGAACCAGCAACCAAACUCCUUCAAGGAUCAAAAUACGAAAAACACCAAAAACACCAAAACUUGCAUUAUUACCCUCAAAUUUCAGCACUUAAGCUCAUUCCUCCAAUUCCAAUAUCAAAACUCGCCUAACAAUCUUCAAAUCA
rnacentral:lncRNA from 1 species